ACUCUCUGAAGACUCAGAUGAUGGUUAGCAUUGUUUAGCAAUAAAAUAUUUUUAAAUUAAGGUAUGUACACUGAUUUUUUAAGACAUAAUGCAAUAUCACG